GGCUCAGGACGAACGCUGGCGGCGUGCUUAACACAUGCAAGUCGAACGAAACACCUUAUUUGAUUUUCUUCGGAACUGAAGAUUUGGUGAUUGAGUGGCGGACGGGUGAGUAACGCGUGGGUAACCUGCCCUGUACAGGGGGAUAACAGUCAGAAAUGACUGCUAAUACCGCAUAAGACCACAGCACCGCAUGGUGCAGGGGUAAAAACUCCGGUGGUACAGGAUGGACCCGCGUCUGAUUAGCUGGUUGGUGAGGUAACGGCUCACCAAGGCGACGAUCAGUAGCCGGCUUGAGAGAGUGAACGGCCACAUUGGGACUGAGACACGGCCCAAACUCCUACGGGAGGCAGCAGUAGG
rnacentral:rRNA from 1 species